rnacentral:rRNA from 1 species
AUACGUAGGUGACAAGCGUUGUCCGGAAUUAUUGGGCGUAAAGCGCGCGCAGGCGGUCCUUUAAGUCUGAUGUGAAAGCCCACGGCUCAACCGUGGAGGGUCAUUGGAAACUGGGGGACUUGAGUGCAGAAGAGGAAAGUGGAAUUCCAAGUGUAGCGGUGAAAUGCGUAGAGAUUUGGAGGAACACCAGUGGCGAAGGCGACUUUCUGGUCUGUAACUGACGCUGAGGCGCGAAAGCGUGGGGAGCAAACAGGAUUAGAUACCCUGGUAGUCCACGCCGUAAACGAUGAGUGCUAAGUGUUAGGGGGUUUCCGCCCCUUAGUGCUGCAGCUAACGCAUUAAGCACUCCGCCUGGGGAGUACGGUCGCAAGACUGAAACUCAAAUGAAUUGGCGGGG